rnacentral:lncRNA from 1 species
GUUUCCUUUAUCUCAGUGCAAUAGUAACAUCCAUGUUCAUGGAAAGCUCCAAGUAAACAAAAUAAUUCACAAAAUAUAACAAUGAAAUACUAGCUCAAACAAUCAAUAAACAAGCAAUAAAAGACUAACAAAUUAACUAAUGCAUGACGUCGGGCUAAAAUGGUAAAGAAAAGAAGAUAGAAUGGACCUUUUACAGCCAAAAUUCUUUCUGAACCUUUAUUCAAAAAUAAAUUUUUGAUUACAACCCGAAGCAAAAUCUAACAGCGAACUCGAACCAAAAACGAAAAUCUGCCCACGCCUUCGACUGGAGCUCAACCAAGCAAACUUCAUGUUCAUUAUAAACAAACCACGAUCCGAUCGAGACCUGCAUCGGCGCUGAAAACCUUGAACCCAAUUCAAAAACUCCACUGAACGGGGUAGCCUUACACAGUUAAAACGAACCUAUGUUCGUCGGCAAACAUGGUGCGACGACGACUAUUUUUGGGGUAGUUUGGUGCUGCGUUUCAGCUAGUUUUGGGUGGUUGUUUCAGCGUUUGGAGCUUAUGUUUCGGGUUAUUUUUGGAGCAGCUCUUUCAUGGCUAUUUGCAGCUAGUUUCAAGGCCGUUACGUGACUGAUUUUGCUGGAUUUGAGGAUAGUUUUUGAGCUGGUUCAGUUGCGCUUUUGGUGGUAUUUUAAUGGAGUUUUUUUUAUGGUUUUGUGCUGAAGUUUUAUGGAAAAAGAAGAGGGUUGGUGGCUGAAGGUUUUUUUUGUGGGGAAGGGAUCUGAUCUAUCUUUAGGGUUUAGGGUUAAGGGGAAGGGGUUUGUGAGUGGGGGACAAGCAUGAGGGACAAGCAUGGGGGACAAGGGAAAGUGGAGUGAGGACAAAGUGUGGUAUUGGUGAGAUGAGUGAGCGAAAAUUCAAGCACGAUCAAAAAUUAGGUACUCACAAUUCCAAAUGUUAUAGUAUAAUCCAGGUAUAUGAAUCGCGAUAACGUAUUAUUUGCUCCCUUAACACGAUAACACCAAAUAUUUUUGUAUCGUGUGCAGGCAAAAAUUAUAACUAUCAUAUUCUUAGAAAUGUUCUCGUAUAAUUUUGGUAUAUAAAUCGAGCAUCAACAAGAUUGUUACAUUUCAAUGUGUGCUUAAAAUUACACUUGUAUAAAUCGGAUGGUGGUUCAAAAUACUUUUUUUCAAUAGUUUUUACUUACACCAACAUGUAGAUUUCUUAAAGGGGGAAAAGGGAAGAAUAAAUGAAAAAGAAAAAUAGACGUGGAGAAGAAAGGAGCAAGAUCCUAACUUGCUGGAGAAUUAUAGCAUGCGCAGAGAUGGAAUUUUGUAACGUGGAGCAUGAGACUUGACUGUUAACUAACUCACAUGUUUUGGACCUCAAAUUUAGGUAUUAUUCUGUACAUAUUACACUAACAAGAACUAGAAGAAGAAGAAAUUUUUUUAAUAUAGUGUUGUUUCUAUUUUGAACUAAGAUUUCUGGUUCCUUUUCUUUUUGGAUGAAAACUAAAUACCCCAUUUUAAGUAAAAGUAGUACUAACAGCUAAGCUUUCUUUGCCCAAGUUUAUCCAACUCAUGUUACAAGUGAAAAAUGUGUGCCUAUUUCCCAUGGAAAUAAAUAUUCGCAAUGGUAAGGUGGUGGCAAAUUAGGCCAAUGUCAUGUCACACUCCCUCUUUUUCACAUGUUGAUUCUGCCUCAUGUUCUUCUUAAUUUGGCUCUCAAUUUUUUGAUCUUUCACAUGUACUCGUCUUCUAACAUUCUAACAUCUUUUUCUGGUUUCUCAUCGGGUGUUCGUUACCUACAGUGGGCCCCGACUAAUCCUGAUUCGUGUCAGAAAGUCCCACUUUAAAGGGUGAAUCGCUCCUUACCAAAGACAAACUUCAUAUCCAAAACUUGAACACGAGACCUCUGGUUAAGAAUCGAAAAGCACUUAAUUACCACUCUGCUACAACUUCUGGCACCCUAACACCCACACCCUCCCAUGCCAGGACCAACAACUUAAUUCUCAUUUCAGAUGGCCCCUUCUCUUCUAUCAAAGCACUAUUGCACCAAUAAGGUCAAUCAACUUUGGCCUAACAGUUGAAGCAAAUGGCAUUGAAAUAACAUGCAUAACCCACUCGAAAACAUGCACAAUGUUUUGGUUCAAGAAAACAGAAUAAUUAAUCUAUUUUUCUUGCUUCGUUGCAUCUACAGGAGCACAUCUCUUUUCUUGUGUUGUUAUUUGAUACGAUUUAGAUUUCGGUUAAGUUUUCUAUCUUUCUUUUUUUUUUCUUUCUUUUUAUAUUUUAUUCCAGAACAAAUGAAAAUCUGAUUUUAUUUUCAUAUAUUUCUAGAGAAGGCAAGUGAUAGGGUUGGCAGAGUUUUCUUAUACGCUGCUCUUCUCCCAAUUGAAACAUUCGGUUCCAUCUCCAAACACUGUUCUACCUUUCUCACGUGGACUAAUAAUUAAUUAAGGACCAUUUUUUUUAUUAAAUUACAUGCACGACGCGUUUCACAUAAUAACUUCAAAACUCCCAUAUGGACAAGCGCAUUCAAAGACGAAUUUAGCAUUUAACCUAAAGGGAUUCAACUUUUAAAAUAUUUAGCACGAAACGUAUUGUUUUUCAAAAAUUAUUGGUUCAUUUGUAGAAUUUUGGUGAUUUUUCGCAUUACGAUCUACAUUUAUGUUCCAUUUGGAAAUACCGAACUUGUAUGAACCCAUAACAUGUCGAUAAAGUAGAAUCCCAUUAUAUUUAACUCUUCUCACAUGCGGAGUCAAUAUAAUUUAAUAAAUUAAUCAUACAUGUUGCAAACAUAAUUAAGUAAAUAAAAAGUGUGUUUUCUCUAGCAACUUAAGUUUUUAGAUGAGAUGGCCACACACUUCAAUAUGGCACCAGAGUAGGCACAUGUCCUGGGGUCGACAGCCACCCAAUAUCAAAAAGACUUUUCACUAAUGGAAGCUCGAUGCAUUCAAUUUCCCAAUUAAGUUUUUAGAUGAGAUGGUCACACACUUCAAUAUCCUACCAGAGUAGGCACAGGUCCUGGGGUCGAGUCUCACCACCACCCAAUAUCAAAAAGAAUUUUCACGAAUGGAAGCUCGAUGCAUUCAAUUUCCCAAUUAUUUCCUAAUCAAAUCAGAUAGGAAAUUCUUCCUACCUCAUUUUUUAUUUUUAAGGCAGCGCAACGUUAUCUUAUCGAAUGUAACAUGGGAAAUAAAGAAUGAGUCUAAAAGUGAUCAUGGUUACAUUACAUCGACGUACCUUCAAGUCUCCAAGAAACAUUUUAGUCAAGUGCACAUGCAUUUCUAUGGAUGCAAAACGGAAGGAUAAAAGUAUACACAUUUUUUAGACUAAUGUCAAAUCGAUUAGAAGUAGAUCUAAAUUCUACAAAGUGCUAAGGAUAUUUUUCUCUCUUUAUGUGAAUUAUUUAAGAACUAAAAAAAAAAAAGAAACUUAUAAAAUGAAUGCCAGGCGGAAGGUAAUGAUACCACUGCCUUUGGCAACUUUACUUAACUUGCACUCGAAUUACAAUUUUAUUUUUCUUUAAAUAACAUUUCUAAUAGAAAGGUUAUUAGGUGGACUAUUGUAAGCAAUGGAGAGAAAAAAUAAGAAGAAAAUUUUCGAAUUCAGCCCUUAGAGGUGAAUGCAACUUCACAUACCUCUUUGCCAACUUUUGGAUUUUGUAAUCUGUAAAGAUUUGGCAUUCUUGGGAAUCUUUUGGGCGUAAAGAUCCAGUUGUCACUGUCUUAAACUCUUGAUAUACUAUUGAAAAGCAACUUGAUUCUACACCAAAAAUACUGAUUUUUAGGCUUCUGUUUACAUCAUAUCAAUUGGAAUAUCAAGUGGCAAAUUCACAGUUCAAAAUAAAAUCUCGAGAAAACAGCCUAAGAUAAUCUACAAUUUCAGGAUUUAAGUAUAUACCAAAUGAAUUUUGUCACUAUCAACUUAAAAUUUUCAACAAUCUAAGUCAAACCUUUUGAUUAUGUAACAUGACAUAGUCCACUUUCUUGAACGUGUUCAUAGUUAUACAAGAUGCUCGUAAUCCUCUCAUGUGCAAGGAUGUGGUACAGGGGAAAGAGUUGAACAAUAAUGGUCAAUUUAUUUAUCUUUUUAAGCUUUGACGAUAACAAUAUCCCUUUCAUGAUGUGAAGAGACGAAAUGAUGUGGGCAAUCUUAGUAAUGGGAGAUUCUUUCCACUAACAGAUUUUCCUAUCUAAAGAUGCUUUCUGUAAAUAACAGUCAUACUUGCGGUUUAUAACGCUAAUGAGAGAAAGUUUUGACUAAUUAGCCUGGAAAUUAGUGCUAUAUCUAGUAAGAAAAAUCAUGCUCAAUGGGCCAUAGGAGAGGAUUAUGACACAAAGAUCCACAAAAUCUCUCUUUUGGCUGUUAAUUUUGACUUUAAUUAUGUACAGUUUCUUCACAAACUAUAGGUUAUAAUUUGUUUAUUAUGAUUAGAUAACAUAAUCAAGUUCUGUUUUCGCUUGUCAAAAAGGGCGGAGAAAAGAAGACAACCAAAGAAUCUGUGGGGCAAGGAACAAAGGCAUUGGUCAAAUGUCAAAACGUUUGCAUAAGUUGUAGAGAUAGUUGCUUAAACUUUCAGACAGAAGCAACAUAAGACCCAUUUGGUGGUUAGUGCAGAACAUCAAUCCUCCUAUCAAAACGUUAUGGUUUUUUCAACUUCUCAGACAAAUGAAAUUGAUGGAAAUCCUCCUAUCAAAACGUUGUUGGUUGUUUGACUUCUUAUGAUACAAUGCUUCAAACUUUGGGACCAAAAUGUGCAGGCAUUUAGCAGCAUAAAAGCAGGAGAAGUCACCGUAUAAGACAGUACUGGUUUCUCUCAACAACCAUACCAUACUAGCUGUUGGAAAUGGUAUUUUGGUGCUAAAUGAAUAUUCUCUUCUUAUCUUUAAUGAAAUGGAGAGAGAGAAAGAAAUGGUGCUUGAAAUGCAAUUUGUUGUCACUAUUAUGAAGAAGGUGCAAUGAUUAUUGAUAAGUAGUCAUUUGCCAGAGGUGCAACCAAACUGCACAUGCAUGGUUUCAUCACAAUCUGACAACAUUACUUUCAAUUCAAAUGACUUAAUUACUUUUAAUCAAUAUUACCACACAGAUGUGGAGAUAAAGGAGGUUUCUCCUAGAAUACCUUUUUUCCUGAAAAAGAAUUUCUCCUACAAUACCUUAGUGAUCUGAGGACAAUAACACUGUAAAGAAAACUUUAGGUCGCUGGUGAAAGAGCGUCUAUCAAAUCCACACAGAGAGAUUUAUGGACAAUACCUUUUUCCUAAUGCUAUUUUGUGAAAAGGAGAUGGAGAGCUUUGAUCUGGAAGAGAGAAAACAUGCAAAUUAUUCUUUUUCCUCCAUUCAAAUGCAUGUUCCUUAGUAACUGCUGAGGUUUGAACAAGAUAAGCAUUGAGCAUAAGGUGAAAUGUCCCUCAUGUAACCUGUUGUACAGGGCAAAAUUUAGUGGAUUGAAGACAUAAGACAGGUACAAACACAAAAGCAAGAAUGCACAGUAAACCACAGAGCUCCACGUCAUCUGGUGCACAAAAGCAUGUACCCCUACUAAAGACACAAUGAAGUAGAGGAAAACUACCUUACACAACUAGAGUCCAAAAAUAACUAACUAAGCAAAGGGGAGGCAGGUUGUUACACUUUGUUAUACGCAGGAGCUAUGUUAACCAAAGUGGGCGGGGAAACUAAAAGCAUGUUCAAAUUAGGAUAAGAAAUUGAAAGAAGACAGUUGUAUUAACUUUUCAGGACAAGAGGUGUGCUACUAUUUAAAAUGGUGUUUGGCCUUGAAAUCUUUUGGAUACACUAGAAUACAUCACUGGAAGGUUUUUGCUUAGCCUAAAAACACCAACUAUCAUGUGAGAAGAGCUCAAUCCUGGGUCCACCACUACUAAAUAGCUUUAGAUUCUAUCAUUAGCAUGAGAAAAGGCAUUACCUAAUUUUAAUUAUCAAAGGAACAAUAAUAGUUAGGCCACUUCGUACUCCAUUGUACUAAAGGUUGCAAUUCACAAUAAUUUUGGAAAGAAAAUCAGAAUACUAGGAGUAUACACCAUUAACUUCAGAUUUGCUUUUCAUAAGACAUACUAUACAAAUAGAAAAAUAAUCAUAUUUAUGCUUUACAUAUGGAAUAUCCCUAUCAUUUGACUCGGAUUGAGUCCUAAGUGGUUUAGAGACGCUAAUUUGAAUGUCUCAUUAGUGGCUUCCUCCCAAAAGUAAUAUUGAAAAUGCACAACUUGAAUGCAUAUGACGAAGGCCCUACAGUUUAAGCCCCUUGACCAGUUCAACAUACAACACGAAAGUGGAAAUACAUGAAAUACAAAGGUGAAAGAAUAACAAGAAAGAACCUGUAAUUAACAAAAGAUACGUGAACCAUAUUUAUAGUUCAAUAUCAAAACAUCUUCAGGCCAGAAUAUAUCAGUAAUAUAACAUUUAAGUAUAGUUCUUUAAGAGGGGAAGUGGGUAUUACAUUUGUUGUGAAAUGGAUAUGUUCUUAUAUUUUUGGAAAGAGGAUAUCUGUAGUCACUACAGUUGGCACAGGGGAACACUCCUUAUAUCUCAAUGUAAAUGACAUUCACUGUGCUUCUUACAUAGUUACUCCAGUUGUAAGCUUUCAACAACCAGUAACUCACAAAUCAACCUCCAGCCCCUAUAAAUAUCCUUGCUUCUGGAAACUCAAGUUAGUGUCUCUCAGUAUCUCCCUCCUCCCUCCUCCCUCCUCCCUCUCCCUCUCUCUCUCUCUCUAUUGCUCCCUCUCUCUAUAUAUAGUGCAUAAGUUUGGUUGUAUUUGUGCAUGGAUACAGAACUGCAUGCAGAAAGAGGAUUUAUACACAGUUAAGCUAUCUCUGUAACGCUCCAAAACAAGAAAACAAGAGGAAAGAGGCAGAAGCAAAAUAAAGAAGAUGGAAACAGAACAGACCAAAAAGCACCCGGCAUUACCAGAGGUACAAACUACAGAAUAUUUUAGAACCUUUGAAUAGACAAGAAAAAUGUGUAUGAAUCACCAUAACAAUUUUUUUCCCCACAAUUUCUAGGUCAUGGAGGAAUUGAAGAAAAUAAUGGAUAGAGGCUUUCCCAUACUUGCUAUGGGCUUGGCGACUUAUUUGAAAAACAUGAUUUUAGUUGUGUGCAUGGGAAGGCUCGGAAGCUUAGAGCUGGCAGGUGGUGCACUGGCCAUUGGCUUCACCAAUAUUACUGGUUACUCCGUAUUGUCUGGCCUAGCCUUGGGGAUGGAACCACUUUGUAGCCAGGCUUUUGGAUCAAGAAACUUAACCAUAGUGUCUCUUGCCCUCCAAAGGACAAUCUUUAUGUUAUUCACUGCAUCUAUACCUAUUGCCUUCUUAUGGUUUAAUUUUGAGCCUCUCAUGCUAAAGCUACGCCAAGACACACAAAUAAUACACGUAGCAAGUGUAUUUUGCAGAUUUGCUGUCCCAGAUCUUAUUGCUAACAGCCUUCUUCACCCUUUACGCAUCUACUUACGGUGUAAAGGGACAACAUGGCCUCUAUUGUGGUGUACUUCACUUGCAACACUAUUGCAUUUCCCUAUCACAGUUUACCUGACCUUUACUAGAGGCCUUGGGAUCCAAGGAAUUGCAAUUUCAACCUUUGCCUCCAACUUUAUCACCUUAUUCUUCAUUUUAGGCUAUAUAUCCUUUACUUGUCUUGAUCAAAAGAAGAUAUUCUUUACUUACGACCAAAACAAAUCUCUGUCCAAACCCCUAGCAGAAAAUCUAAAGCCUCUUCCUUCCAUUUCUGUGGGAGAGCAAUGGAUGAUGCUUCUUCAACUUGCUAUACCUAGUUGUUUAGCAGUUUGCUUAGAGUGGUGGUGGUAUGAGUUCAUGACAGUUCUAGCCGGAUACCUUGACAGACCUGAAGUUCCACUUGCCGCAUCUUCUAUUGUAAUACAAACCACAUCUCUCAUGUACACAUUGCCUUCAGCCCUAAGUGCUUCAGUCUCAAGCAGGGUAGGAAACGAACUUGGAGCAGGACGGCCAGCUAAGGCCCGCUUGGCAACAGGGAUAGCCAUAGGACUAGCUUUUUUGACUUCAUCAUUUGGAUUCUUACUGACCACCUUAGGCCGAGAAGCAUGGGGAAAAGUUUUUACAAAAGAUAGAGAAGUGCUGGAGCUAACAGGGGCCGUUCUACCCAUUAUUGGACUUUGUGAACUAGCUAAUUGUCCACAAACUACAUGUUGCGGGGUGCUUCGGGGAAGUGCUAGGCCUGGUGUUGGUGCAGGUAUUAACUUUUACUCGUUCUAUCUGAUGGGAACACCUGUGGCCAUUAUUUUGGCCUUUGUUUGGAAGCUAGGAUUUUUGGGUCUUUGUUAUGGGCUUCUAGCGGCUCAAGUGGCAUGUGUAAUCUCAAUGUUAAUAGUUACUUACGGUACUGACUGGGAAGGAGCAUCCUUGAAGGCAAAAGAACUAGUGGGAACAAGUAAUGAACUUCCAUACGAAGAUCAACUGGUAAAAUUUGAGGAGGGCAAUGGAUUUCUCAAAGGAUUUAGCUUUUAAAGAGGGAAGAAACCUAAGGACGCAAUGAAUGCAAAGGAAAAGGAACGAGAUGGCACAAAAAGGAAGAAAACAAAAUUGUUACAUUCUCUCAGUAUUUCGAGUCAUAGAAUAUGCAACAUGUGUCAAUUGUUCUUCCUGGUGUCUAUUGGACUGUGUCGUUAAAGAAACUAUCUUCAUUAGUCUAACAAUGUUGUUGAUGGAUUAUAGAAGUACAGGCCAGCAGAAGUAUGUUAUAUAGCUUAAAUGUGUAAAUAUAAGAGGCUUUUGAUUUGCACUUUCUAGAUAUCAAUAUAUUUUAUCUUAGUAGCUAUGACAUGAACAUGUGCAUGAGCUUCUAGUUCUUUUUUAUAGUUCUCAGCAUGUAAUAGUUCUCUGAUUAACCACCAGAGCAUGCUUCACAUUUAGCUCACCUCUCUCCCUUCCCCUCUUAAAUGGUGAAGACAGAACAGGAGGCAUUGUAUCUCUGCAUUUGUGGGGCAUAAGCCCUACGAGAAGAAACAUAACCCCUAUGAAGUUCAAUUUUGGAUAGUAAUCUAUUAUUUGACUAUUUUAAAGAUACUUUAGGAAAAAUAUUCAUUGGUAAGGCAACAUUCUUGUAAAUUGAACAAUUUUGGAAAAACUAUUCUUUUCUUGGAGAAAUCAAUUACGGCAAUGGUAAAUUUUUAACCUUAAGAAAUAAAGGUUUACUACAGUACAGAUUUAGAUCAUAACAUUGAUUUUAUCAUUUUAACCUUUAUUCCUUAUCUAACUCGCAAUUGAACAUUUGGUGUAACUUGUAAAUCUCUAUAAUAGGAAAUUAACUCAAAUUAACCUUUAUUUUCCUUAGGUAAUAAAAUUGACAUACAAAAGCAGCACUUAAUUGAGGGAUACAAACAUGCAGGGAACGGAAUGAGCGACCAGUGGGAGUAAAGCUUUGGGAUACCAUUGCCCAAUGAGAGCCCACUGCCUUUUAACAUGUUGGUAAAUAUAUGAUAUUUUAUAAGCAUAGCUAGCCAUGAAGAAUCAAAAUUUAAAGAGACAGAGAGGAAGAAAUGAAUAAAAGACACUAGGAAUUAUACAAGAGAAAUAAACUAAUUUCAAAGACUCUCAUUCACUCCUUCCACAAUGUUCCCAUACAAACACCAAGAUUGUGCUCUGUCGCACCCUAUACACCACCACAUGGCUUCUGAGAUUCGGUGUCUCGACACAUUGGGAGGCAAACUAUGCACAGUGGGGAUGUAACUGACUUAGGAGCAAGGCAUAACAAUUGUUGUGUUAACUAGCGAGUUACCACACCAACUGUAGUCUCUAACUUGAGGCAUUACAAGGAUACAAAUGGGUUACCCUAGAGUUAUGCAUUGUAAGGGACAGAAUAUCAUGUAUGCAAUGGGAGCUACGUCUCGAAUCCUAUGACUCCCCUCUAAGUUCAUGCAAUAUUCGGUGGGUUUUCACCCUUUAUCAUACCAAACUGGAGGGGAACAUUACCAAUAGCGAAGCUUACACACCGUUGGGGAUAAAUCCUAAAAGGCACUGCUAAUGAGCCAAGUUUGCAUUGAACCGAUAUACAUUAGAUCUUAUCUGUCAAUAGCCAACGAAUAAGUCACCCUGGCAAGAAUCAACAAGAACCAUCUGCACUAUAAUACUAUAUUAAACAAGAGAGUUCAACCUCAACUUUUCCCUUCACUCCUGAGAAAAACGACAAUAGUUCCUACUCAUUCAUGGCCAGAAUUCCUCACCUUUUCCUAGUAUUGUCACCUAUUCUCUACUUGUUGACAUAUUGAUAAAGGCUUCUCAUUCUUAAGAAUACUUCCACAUAAAGGCUAAAGCAAUAGUGAUAACAUAAUUGUCAUUUAACUUCAGUUGACGCUCUUCUUCUGAGGCGAUUUUUAUACAGAGUGAUACUGCAUCCACUAUUUAUUUUUCUCUUGUGAAAACAAUAAGUUUUGCUUAGUAUGAAUAUGCUAUUUCUAAAAAAGUUUAAUUAUGUUGUAUAACUCAGGUCGAAUGUAGUGGAUGUGCCCGUACCCGCUGUUUUCUAUACAAUCUAUCCUUGCUCCUUCUGCUCUCCCCUCCCUUUCCGUAGAGAUGAUCAAUCAAAUGUCCUUCCCUUUCUGUUUUGGAUCCCUCUCCCUCAGCUCCUUCCCCUUAUUCUUUUCUCUAUGUGGAGUUAAGACAACUCACGGUACAUUAUCAACGCUUAAUUCCAUGACCCUCCUCUUUUACCUUCCAAUUCUCAGAAGCAAACAACCUUAAGUGCCUCAAUAUUUUUAAAAGAAAAGACCUUUCUCGACAAUCUUAACGACCAGAGAUAUUUCGAUAAUUCUUUCAAAUUCUAAUUCCUCUCCCUUCAUUCACUCGUAAAUUAUUGGUGUAAUACUCACCAUUCAGAUAGUGACUAGCGCUUUUUGCUAUGCAUUAUGCACUUGAUGUUCAUAUAACUUUCGGCAUAGAACACGUAACCAGAGAUUCAUGGAAGUCUCAUAUUUAUGAUCCGACCAUCAAAACUCAAAAAGGAAACUAAAGAGCUGAUUAAUGUGGCUUAUCAAAAUUCAGAACCUACAUUUGGAAAAAGAAAAUAGUAGCAGAAAAUUCCAACAGAUGCAAAAACACUAGGUGAUUUUUCUUCCCAGAUGUCUAAGAUUUUGUUGGCAAAGUUACUGGCAAGUGUGCUGCGCACACACACACAGAGUUGCUCAUUGAACGCUCAAAUUUAUUUCAAGCAAUAACUAUGAGUCCAUGGUAAAUCUAAAUUUGCUAAUGGAGAAGAAAUAAAAUUUGUAGAAGUUUGGAAAAUGACAUAUUCCACUAGUUUGGACAGUGCAAUUUCAACUGCCAAUUGAUAACGAGCAAGGAUUUCAAUUCUCGUGACAAAUAGGUAAAACAAAAUAGACUGUGAAGAGACAAAGCGAGCUUACCGGAGAUGAGAAGAUACAUAAUCGGAGAUUCCGCCGGAGGAAGAAUGACAGCGGAAACUGGAGAUUCCAUUUCCGACUACACGCUGUGACAAACACGUGAUUUGACGGGAUCCUCAACUUCUCCGUAAACAAUUUUAUUGGGCCUAUUUGUAACGGGCUCUUUUAGAUGGACUCCUUUUCGAGAUUGUUGUAGGAAGUGAUGUUUUC